rnacentral:rRNA from 1 species
UAGGGAAUCUUCCGCAAUGGGCGAAAGCCUGACGGAGCAAUGCCGCGUGAGUGAUGAAGGUUUUCGGAUCGUAAAGCUCUGUUGCCAGGGAAGAACGCUUGGGAGAGUAACUGCUCUCAAGGUGACGGUACCUGAGAAGAAAGCCCCGGCUAACUACGUGCCAGCAGCCGCGGUAAUACGUAGGGGGCAAGCGUUGUCCGGAAUUAUUGGGCGUAAAGCGCGCGCAGGCGGUCAUUUAAGUCUGGUGUUUAAUCCCGGGGCUCAACCCCGGAUCGCACUGGAAACUGGGUGACUUGAGUGCAGAAGAGGAGAGUGGAAUUCCACGUGUAGCGGUGAAAUGCGUAGAUAUGUGGAGGAACACCAGUGGCGAAGGCGACUCUCUGGGCUGUAACUGACGCUGAGGCGCGAAAGCGUGGGGAGCAAACAGGAUUAGAUACCCUGGUAGUCCACGCCGUAAACGAUGAGUGCUAGGUGUUAGGGGUUUCGAUACCCUUGGUG